UUCGCAAUGCCCGAAAGGGUGACGAAGCGACGCCGCGUGGGUGAGGAAGGCCCUCGGGUUGUAAAGCCCUGUCAGGAGUUAAGAAAUGUAGGUACGCUAAUAUCGUAUCUAUUUGACAAAGGCUCCAAAGGAAGCCACGGCUAACUCUGUGCCAGCAGCCGCGGUAAUACAGAGGUGGCAAGCGUUGUUCGGAAUUAUUGGGCGUAAAGAGCACGUAGGUGGAUUUGUAAGUCAGAUGUGAAAGCCUUCUGUUCAACGGGAGAAUUGCAUCUGAAACUACAAACCUUGAGUGUAGGAGGGGAGAAUGGAACUUCUGGUGGAGCGGUGAAAUGCGUAGAUAUCAGAAGGAACGCCGGCGGCGAAAGCGAUUCUCUGGCCUAUUACUGACACUCAGUGUGCGAAAGCUAGGGGAGCAAACGGGAUUAGAUACCCCGGUAGUCCUAGCCGUAAACGAUGGGCACUAAGUAGAGGGGUUUU
rnacentral:rRNA from 2 species